rnacentral:lncRNA from 1 species
CUCUCCCUGCCGUCUUGCCAGGUUCUCUAAUUCCCACCACGAGAGCCAUCCUCUAGUUAAAGGCAUUGUGUCUCCAGGAGGCCCGGGUUACAGGGCAGCCACCCAUAGGCAACGCCACACAUUUAACCCAUAAUUGCCCAUCAGCCCAGAACCUGGCUGCAGAGAAAAGCUACCAGCUGUUGGUAACCGAACACUGCCUUGCUAAGAGAAGCUUUUUGACAGCCUCUUCACAUAAGUGGGGGAAAUGGGUGCCGCAAAGCUCUGGAUCAGGAGUGUAAUGGCUUCCAUGGGAGCGGCCAAAUUGCUGCAGUGAUGGCAUCUCAGCUUUCUCCUCCCAGGGCAUGGGCCAGUUAGACUUCGGAUACUGAGAGGAAUGUGGAAAUGCAAAUGGCACCAAGGAAGUGCACAUAAGUUCAUGGAUGAUGGAUCCAAUGUGGAAUCAGGGAACGCUUGGGUCACACCCUUAACCAGGCCUUAUCUCUGAGGGAAGAAGACAACUGCCUAUCCAGCUUGAGCUGAUGUCCUCCAACAUCCUGUCACUGGGCUGAAGCUCUGAAUCUGAAGCAUAUCAAAGAAUGCUGGUGUUUUGUCUCCGUUUCCUGAUUAGUUAAAUCUAUAGUUACUUUUUUUCCCCUUAGCUAAAUUACCUAUAGCUAGAGCUUAAAUCCUUCAUUUGAAAGGCAACACAAAUUCUUUUUUUUUUUUUAAAGAUUGGCACCUGAGCUAACAACUAUUGCUAAUCUUCUUCUUCUUCUUCUUCUUUUUUUUUUUUGCUUUUUCUCCCCAAGUCCCCCAGCACAUAGUUGUAUAUGUUAGUUGUGGGUCCCUCCAGUUGUGGCAUGUGGGACGCCGCCUCAAUGUGGCCUGACGAGCAGUGCCAUGUUCGUGCCCAGGAUGCGAACCGUGGAAACCCUGGGCCGCCAAAGCAGAGCCUGCGAACUUAACCACUCGGCCACGGGGCCGGCCCCCCAAAUUCUUUUUUUAAAUUUAGGUAUAAUUUAUUUCUAAUGAAAUGUACAAAUUAAAUAUUAAAGUGUUUUGACAGUGUAUACACCCAUGAAAUCAUCACCAUAAUCAGGAUAGUCAACAUUUCAUUCACCUCUAAAAGAUUCCUCAUGAUUCUUUGCUGUCUCUGCUCACCAGACAGCCCAGGGCAAUCACUGAUCUUAUUUCUAGCACUAUAUCUUUGCAUUUAUAUAAACAGAAUCAUACAGUAUGCACUUUCUUGGGUCCAGCUGUUUUCACUUGGCAUCAUGAUUUUGAGAUUCCUCCACGAUGUUUGUAUCAAUAGUUCCUUCUCUUUUAUUUUCUUCUCUAGGUAGGAAUUCCACUGUAUGGAUAUACCACAUCUUAUUAUUCAUCCACCUCUUGUUGUACAUUUUCCCCCUAGUGUAGUGGGUUAAAUUUUGUUCCCUAAAAAGAUACGUUCAAAUCCCAACCUUUAGUACCUGAGAAUGUAACCUUACUUGGAAAUACGAUUUUUGCAGAUAUAAUCGGUUAACAUGAGGUUAUACUGGAUUAGGGUGAGCCCUAAAUCUAAUCACUGGGAUCCUUAUAAGAAGAGGACAGACACACAGAGACACAAAGGGAAGAAGACCAUGUGAUAAUAGAGGCAGAGAUUGGAGUGACACGGCCUAAUCCAAGGGAAUCCCAAGGAUUGCCCAGCAACCCCCAGAAGAUGGCAGAGAGGCAUGGAACACGUCCUCCCCUAGACGCUCCGGAAGGAACUAACGUGUCGAUACCUUGAUUGAAGACUUCUGGCCUCCUGAACUGUGUGAGACAACAAUUCCUGUUGUUGUAAGCCACCCAGUUGGUGGGAAUUUGUUAGAGCAGCCCUGGGAAGCUAAUACACUCAGUUUUUGUCUAUUUGAAUAAAGCUGUUAUGAACAUUCACAUGCUUUUGUGUGGACAUGUGUUCUCAUUUCUUUUUGGUAAAUACCUAGGAGUGGAAUGGCUGGGACAAAUGUUGGACUUUUUAAGAAACUGCCAAACAGUUUUCCAAAGUGGUUGCACUAUUUUCCAUUCCCACCAGCAGGGUCUGAGAGUUCUAGCUGCCCUGCCUAUACACCAAUGUGUAGUAUUGC